UACUUCUCCGUUUAUUGCAGAUUGGAGCUUUAAGGACCACCAUAAAGUAAAUUCCUGGAGGUAUGUGCAGACAUGGACACCCAGCUGGUAGUGCAGUGGGGAAAGUCUGUUGGACUGUUGAGUGAAGCCACAGAGAGAGAUGCUGUCAGCAUGGACUUCAGUGACCUCGGCUGAUUCCCUGUAUUUAACCUGAGCAGCCUUGUGUAUUUUUAUCUAUAAGGCCCCCGUAUGCAAAUGACCACAUUAUGUUAGUGGCCUCCGUAAUACGUGUUCAGGUAAUAUGGUUGAUAAUUUUUUAUUGCAUUGUUGGCCUUUUAUAUGUCUGUACUGUUGGACUUGCUGUCCUGCUGCUUUUCUUGGCCAGGACACCCUUGAAAAAGAGAUGUUAUCUUUACCCCUGGUUAAAUAAUGCUUAAAUAAAAUAAUAAUAAUAACAAAUUCAACCAGAAAUGAGAACACCUGGGGGGUCUGCAGGGCCAACAAAACAGCAGACAUCUUUAUUCAAACAUAAACCAGGUGGUGGUUUAAUGUUAAGAUCAUUUUAGCCGAGCUAAAUAAAUACAUCGGUCUUUUGUAAUAAAUUCUGCAGGGACGUCACCCUGAUAAAUCUCUGCA